CUCCUCUACACACACACUCACACCACAAUCCUCCCCUCCUUGCAACAAAUAGAAACAGAUGUACAAGUCCAAUCCAGCAGCAAUGAAAAAGUGGCACGUGAGUACAUAUCAGAGGAAGGACUUAAACACAGAUCUUCUUAACUCCAAUGGUUCUCUGUGCCAUGAGAGCUUUCAGUUUGUGAUACCGGGCAGGAAUGCUGUACUGUGGGAUUGGUUCCAGUAAGAUGAGG